UACGUAGGGUGCAAGCGUUAAUCGGAAUUACUGGGCGUAAAGCGUGCGCAGGCGGUUAUAUAAGACAGUUGUGAAAUCCCCGGGCUCAACCUGGGAACUGCAUUUGUGACUGGCAAGCUAGAGUAUGGCAGAGGGGGGUAGAAUUCCACGUGUAGCAGUGAAAUGCGUAGAGAUGUGGAGGAAUACCGAUGGCGAAGGCAGCCUCCUGGGCCAAUACUGACGCUCAUGGCACGAAAGCGUGGGGAGCAAACAGG
rnacentral:rRNA from 1 species